UACGGGGGGGGCAAGCGUUGUUCGGAAUUACUGGGCGUAAAGGGCUCGUAGGCGGCCAACUAAGUCCGACGUGAAAUCCCAAGGCUUAACCUUGGGACUGCGUCGGAUACUGGAUGGCUUGAAUUCGGGAGAGGGAUGCAGAAUUCCAGGUGUAGCGGUGAAAUGCGUAGAUAUCUGGAGGAAUACCGGUGGCGAAGGCGGCAUCCUGGACCGACAUUGACGCUGAUGAGCGAAAGCUAGGGGAGCAAACGGG
rnacentral:rRNA from 1 species